rnacentral:rRNA from 1 species
AUUGAACGCUGGCGGCAUGCCUUACACAUGCAAGUCGAACGGCAGCACGGGUCCUCGCGCUUCGUUGCGAGUGGCUGACGGGCGAGUAAUACAUGGGAACAUGUCCUGUUGUGGGGGGGAGCCCGCCGCAAGCCGCGGUAAUACCUCCUACGUACCACGGCAGAAAGCGGGGGCCCUUCGUGCCUCGCUCUUUCGGUUUGGUCGGUGCGGGAUUAGCUAGUUGGUGGGGUAAAGGCCUACCAAGGCGACGAUCAGUAGCUGGUCUGAGAGGACGACCAGCCACACUGGAACUGAGACACGGUCCAGACUCCUACGGGAGGCAGCAGUGGGGAAUAUUGGACAAUGGGCGAAAGCCUGAUCCAGCAAUGCCGCGUGUGUGAAGAAGGCCUUCGGGUUGUAAAGCACUUUUGGCCGGAAGGAAGGCAUUAACGCUAAUACGGUCGGGGGAUGACGUUACCGGAAGAAUAAGCACCGGCUAACUACGUG